UACGUAGGGGGCAAGCGUUGUCCGGAUUUAUUGGGCGUAAAGAGCGUGUAGGCGGCCAGGUAGGUCCGUUGUGAAAUCUCCAGGCUCAACCUGGAGGGGUCAUUCGAUACUGCCAUGACUAGAGGUCGGUAGGGGAGUGUGGAAUUCCUGGUGGAGCGGUGAAAUGCGCAGAUAUCAGGAGGAACACCUGUGGCGAAAGCGGCUCACUGGACCAUAACUGACGCUGAUGCACGAAAGCUAGGGGAGCAAACAGG
rnacentral:rRNA from 1 species